GUGCGGUCACAAAAAACAACGUUUUUUGAACGUUGGCUCUGCCAACGGCUCCGAAGGAGUGAGUAAACCACGUUAGUGAUUUACGAAUAAUUUUGAC
rnacentral:ncRNA from 1 species